rnacentral:rRNA from 1 species
UAGUCCACACCGUAAACGAUGGAUACUAGAUGUUGGAGGUACUUAUCCCUUCGGUGUCGUAGCUAACGCAUUAAGUAUCCCGCCUGGGGAAUACGGCCGCAAGGUUAAAACUCAAAGAAAUUGACGGGGGCCCGCACAAGCGGUGGAGUAUGUGGUUUAAUUCGAUGCAACGCGAAAACCUUACCUGGACUUGACAUCCUUUGCUAUACAGCGAAAGUUGUAGUUCUCUUUUGAGACGAAGUGACAGGUGCUGCAUGGCUGUCGUCAGCUCGUGUCGUGAGAUGUUGGGUUAAGUCCCGCAACGAGCGCAACCCUUGUCGUUAGUUGCCAGUAUUAAGUUAGGCACUCUAGCGAGACCGCUUGCCGAUAAGGCAGAGGAAGGUGGGGAUGACGUCAAGUCAGCAUGGGCCCUUACGUCCAGGGGCUACACACGUACUACAAUGGCGUAUACAGAGGGCAGCGAACUCGCGAGGGUAAGCAAAAUCCCAAAAAGUCGUACGUAGUCCGGAUUGGAGUCUGCAAC